UAGCGUUGUUCGGAAUUACUGGGCGUAAAGCGUGCGCAGGCGGCUUUCCAAGUCAGUGGUGAAAGCCCGGAGCUCAACUCCGGAAAUGCCAUUGAAACUGUGAAGCUUGAGAACGAGAGAGGUGAGUGGAAUUCCCAGUGUAGAGGUGAAAUUCGUAGAUAUUGGGAAGAACACCAGUGGCGAAGGCGGCUCACUGGCUCGUAACUGACGCUCAUGCACGACAGCGUGGGGAUCAAACAGG
rnacentral:rRNA from 1 species